AGAGGCCCUAGUUGAUAAACACGGCGUAAAGGGUGGUUAGGGGAAUAUAAAAAUAAAGCCGAAGAGCCCUCUGGCUGUUAUACGCUUCCAGGCGCCCGAAGCUCAAAUACGAAAGUAGCUUUAACUAAGACCACCUGACCCCACGAAAACUGAGAAACAAACUGGGAUUAGAUACCCCACUAUGCUCAGUCAUAAACCCAAAUGCCAAAUUACAAUAGGCAUUCGCCAGGGUACUACGAGCGUCA
rnacentral:rRNA from 1 species